rnacentral:rRNA from 1 species
CACGGGGGGAGCAAGCGUUGUUCGGAAUCACUGGGCGUAAAGCGCACGUAGGCGGCUUGGUAUGUCGGGUGUGAAAUCCCCGGGCUCAACCUGGGAACUGCAUCCGAAACUGCCUUGCUAGAGUAUGGGAGAGGGAAGUGGAAUUUCCGGUGUAGCGGUGAAAUGCGUAGAUAUCGGAAGGAACAUCAGUGGCGAAGGCGACUUCCUGGACCAAUACUGACGCUCAGGUGCGAAAGCGUGGGGAGCAAACAGG